rnacentral:rRNA from 1 species
AUUGAACGCUGGCGGCACGCCUUACACAUGCAAGUCGAACGGCAGCACGGGUGCUUGCCCCUGGUGGCGAGUGGCGAACGGGUGAGUAAUACAUCGGAACAUGUCCUGUAGUGGGGGAUACCCCGGCGAAAGCCGGAUUAAUACCGCAUACGAUCUACGGAUGAAAGCGGGGGACCUUCGGGCCUCGCGCUAUAGGGUUGGCCGAUGGCUGAUUAGCUAGUUGGUGGGGUAAAGGCCUACCAAGGCGACGAUCAGUAGCUGGUCUGAGAGGACGACCAGCCACACUGGGACUGAGACACGGCCCAGACUCCUACGGGAGGCAGCAGUGGGGAAUUUUGGACAAUGGGCGAAAGCCUGAUCCAGCAAUGCCGCGUGUGUGAAGAAGGCCUUCGGGUUGUAAAGCACUUUUGUCCGGAAAGAAAUCCUUGGCCCUAAUACGGUCGGGGGAUGACGGUACCGGAAGAAUAAGCACCGGCUAACUACGUG